rnacentral:rRNA from 1 species
GGGGGAUAUUGCACAAUGGAGGAAACUCUGAUGCAGCGACGCCGCGUGAGGGAAGAAGGUUUUCGGAUUGUAAACCUCUGUCUUCGGGGACGAAACAAAUGACGGUACUCGAGGAGGAAGCCACGGCUAACUACGUGCCAGCAGCCGCGGUAAUACGUAGGUGGCAAGCGUUGUCCGGAAUUACUGGGUGUAAAGGGAGCGCAGGCGGAACUGCAAGUUGGGUGUUUAAUCUACGGGCUCAACCCGUAUCAGCAUUCAAAACUGUGGUUCUUGAGUAAUGCAGAGGUAGGCGGAAUUCCCGGUGUAGCGGUGGAAUGCGUAGAUAUCGGGAGGAACACCAGUGGCGAAGGCGGCCUACUGGGCAUCAACUGACGCUGAGGCUCGAAAGCAUGGGUAGCAAAC